rnacentral:tRNA from 1 species
ACCAUAGUGGCGCAAAUGGUGGCGCAACGGACUUUUAAUCCGUGGGUUGCAGGUUCGAGCCCUGCCUGUGGUACCA